rnacentral:rRNA from 1 species
GAAACUUUUGGGGUCUUAAUUGGGCGUAAACCCGCGCAAGCGGCUUUUUAUUUAUAAAUGGGAAGCCCCCCUUUUUCCUUUUAGAGGGGCUUGGAAACUGGGGAGUUGGGCCGCUUUCGAGAAAGGGAUUUCCCCGUGUCCGGGAAAUGCUAUAUUAUGGAGAACCCCAUGGGCAAGGGCACCUCCUGCCUUAAUACUGACUUGAGGCCGAAGCGUGGGGAGCAAAGGAUUAAUACCCUGGUGUCACGCCUAACGAUAGUACUAGUGUUGGGGUUUCCAUUUUUGGUGGUGAACUAACGCAAUUAGUACACCGCCUGGGGAGUACGGCCGCAAGGUUAAAACUCAAAUGAAUUGACGGGGGCCCGAAAGCGGUGGAACAUGUGGUUUAUUUAUGCAACGCGAAAACCUUACCGGGUCUUGACAUCCUUUGACACUCUAAAAUGGUUGUUUCUUCCGAAUAUAAAACAAUGGUGCUGGUUGUCGUCCCUCGUGUCGUGAGAGUUGGGUUAGUCCCCACCAAUCGCAAACUUUCCUUACUUGUCAUCAUUUUUAUGGACCUAAGGGAUCCCCGUCAAAAUCAGGAAGGGGGAAGGAGCCAAGACCCUGGGCUUAUGACGCGGUUACCCCUCCUAAGUCCGAGAAGAGUUAUGAUCCCGAAGAUAUCCUUAAACCACUCAUCUGAUUUGUCUGCACCCCCUCCUGAAUCGAAUCUUUUAUCGCGAACAAAUGCCGGGGGAUCCUUCCCCGCCUUCCCCCCCCCCCCCAA